UUUGCAGACCUAUGCAAUAGAAAGUUAGAGCAACGCUUCAGGGUAGGAAUACAGCAGAGCACUUUGGCUUUUUAUGUGCCUUAGGUAUCUGCAGGGAG
rnacentral:SRP_RNA from 1 species